rnacentral:misc_RNA from 1 species
CUUUAUACUUUUUGAGUUUGAUGAUAUUGUUUGUAACUUAUCUGAACAAAGAACAGCUUCUUCAAUUUCAUUUAAUUUUUCAUACCAUUCUGAACCUAAUUUCCUUCUUAAUUCCUGGAGUUCAUUUUGAAGUCUUAAUUUACCAAAUGUAUUUAAGUAAAUUCUAUCAUCUGUCUUACAAAAUCUUUAAUAAACGAAGUAAUAAAUCUAAAACCUUCUGUAUCUCUGAGAAGACUUCAAAUGAAAACCAGUUAAAUAACUUUGUUAUUAAUUCUUUUCUUACAGCAUCGCAAUCGCAACCAAAACCAAGAUUGUAUUUUGAAAUAAUAUUAUCUAGUGCUCUCAAUCGAAUUUCCUCGAUAUUAUGACCUGGAAAGAUUGAUAAAUUUUAUGCCCAUCUUUUGCUUUGCUAUACCAUAUAAUAAAAAAUUG